UCCCUGGUGGCUCAGACGGUAAAGCACCUACCUACAAUGCGGGAGACCCGGGUUCGAUCCCUGGGUUGGGAA
rnacentral:tRNA from 1 species